rnacentral:lncRNA from 1 species
CUAGAAAAAAUACAACAAUGAAUUAAUUAUAUCAAAUUCAAAAAUUUUAAAAGAUUCUACCAUAAAUUCCAACAUUAAUAGUUCCAUAAUAUUAAGCAAAGAUAAUCUAAGAUACCACUCUAAAUUAUUAAAAAUAUCAUAAACAAUAUCUUUGCAUUGUAUAAAUUAAGAUCAAAUAAUAAAAAAAUAAAAAAACUACUUUGAACCUUCAUCUAUUCAGCACUCAACCCAUAGCAC